CCUGUCGUGCCCUGGGAGGCUUGUGGUGCCCCUGUAAACUUGUAAAGCAGUGUACUUGCGGAGGAUUUGUCGAUAAACCCAGGAAAUAGUGCCCGUGUUUUUCCUUGUGCCCCGGCUGUGCCCCGGCCUCGUGUGUGUGUGUGUGUGUGUGUGUGUUGUCCCGGCGUUUAUAGUGUGACUUAUUUGAGGCCCCGCUGCUCUAGUUUCUUGACCUGUGCCCGCGUGGAUAACACGCCCGCCCGGAAUGAGGGGUGGGCACAACAGUAUUAUUAGAAACAUGAACCGUCUAACAGCCACGAAAAAGAAAUUAAUUUUUUUCGUAUGGAGAAGCAAAAAUCACGAAUUUGGCUUUCUAAACUAACCUAAUUCACUCACCCUUCUCUCUCUCUCUCUCUCUCUCUCUCUCUCUCUCUCUCUCUCUCUCUCUCUCUCUCUCUCUCUCUCUCUCUCUCUCUCUCUCUCUCUCUCUCUGUCAAAUGUGCAGGUAUGGCAGUCCAUGGAAGUAAUGUUUGGCAGAGCAAAGGACUGACUUGUGUUCCUUGUUGAUAACAAACAAACAUGAGCAGGCAGGGUGUAGUAAUGUUUUGAUGCUACACUGAUGCAUUGACAAAUAAUAAUCAUAAAUGGUUUAUUAAUAAUCCAGUUAGGACUAAAUUUAUAUUGUACUGAAUAAAAAAUAAAAUGUGAUAAAUAUACGCUUAAAAUUAGGAUCUUAUUAACUAAGGUGGUAUUACAGGAGGAGGAGGAGGAGAAGGUUUUGUAUUGCUGUACAGGAGGAGGAAGAGAUUUUGUGUUGCUGGGAAGGGGAAGAAGAAAUUUUGUGUUGCUGGGAAGGGGAAGAAGAAAUUUUGUGUUGCUGGGAAGGGAAAGAUGAAAUUUUGUGUUGCUGGGAAGAUGAAAUUUUGGUCAGUGAUGGAGAAUCUGGGUCCCUCCUGGCUGGGUCCUGCACCCUGGUGGUAUGAGUUGCCAGCGCUGCAUCUCUGCUUCAGUACUGCCAUGCCAGGGUCGUGCGCUGGUGCUGCUGGAAGUUAUUAGGGUUUUGAGGAGUUAUCUUGCUGUCCAGCCAGCCACUCCCGUACGUUAAGAGCUCAUGGUUCAUGGUGACUGAUCUCUGGGUAGGACUGAGGCUCAUGUGCCACACACCGUUACAGCCAGGCCACAACCCUCAUCUCUCAUCCCGUAUCUACAAUACUUGCUGCUGGCAUUCAAGAGCAAGGGAGUGAGGAGAAAAGCUUAGUCCAGUCUGCUGUCUGUGCAUCAAGCCUGAGCUGGUCUGCUCCCACGGUGCAGCGUGUGGCAGUGUUAGCAGACACGGCUCUUGUCUGCACCUCAUCCUCUUAAAGAUAUGAGGUGGUGUGAGCACUGGGACAAGAUGAAGAGAGUACGCAGCAAGUUUGUGGAUGUUUUGCGGCUGCACGUGCGGGGUGGAGCGGGGGGCAUGGGUCUGCCGCGCCUCGGGGGAGUGGGAGGCGCAGGGGGUGAUGUGUAUGUGGAGGGGAAGGAAGGCCACAGUCUGCUGAAGCUGUGCAAGGCUCAGCCAGACCAGCAGUGGGUUGGGGCAGCUGGCAUGGACAGUUACAAGUAUCGCAUCUGUGGGGAGGCUGGCGCUGAGCUGAUCAUUCCUGUCCCUACAGGCACCACCGUCUGGCUCGAGCAGCACCAGAAAUUGCUGGGUGAGAUAAACUGUGCAGGAGACAAGGUGUUGGUGGCUUGAGGUGGGCAGAGCAGCAACCCCAGCAACCAGUACAAUGGGCAGAAGGGACAGGGACACAUUGUGAAGCUGAAACUGAAGCUGUUGGCUGAUGUGGGUCUGGUGGGCUUCUCUAACGCUGGCAACAGCAUUAGGGAAGCCUGAGGAACAGUGGUGUUCCUCAGGGUUCUGUCCUGUCACCCACUCUUCUUAUUAUUCAUUAAUGAUCUUCUAAACCAAACUUCUUGUCCUAUCCACUCCUACGCUGAUACCACCCUGCACUUUUCCACAUCUUUUCAUAGACGUCCAACCCUUCAGGAGGUAAACAUUUCACGCAGGGAAGCCACAGAACGCCUGACUUCUGAUCUUUCUAAAAUUUCUGAUUGGGGCAGAGCAAACUUGGUAUUGUUCAAUGCCUCAAAAACUCAAUUCCUCCAUCUUUCAACUCGACAUAACCUUCCAGACAACUAUCCCCUUUUCUUCAGUGACACUCAAUUGCCCCCCUCUUCUACACUGAACAUCCUCGGUCUGUCCUUUACUUAUAAUCUGAACUGGAAACUUCACAUCUCAUCUCUAGCUAAAACAGCCUCUAUGAAGUUAGGUAUUCUGAGAUGUCUCCGCCAGUUUUUCUCAUCCCUCAGCUGCUAACUCUGUACAAGGGCCUUAUCUGUCCAUGUAUGGGGUAUGCUUCACAUGUCCGGGGGGUUCCACUCAUACUGCUCUUCUAGACAGGGUGGAAUCAAAAGCUUUUCAUCUCAUCAACUCCUCUCCUCUAACUGACUGUCUUCAGCCUCUCUCUCACCGCCACAAUGUUGCAUAUCUAGCUGUCUUCUACUGCUAUUUUCAUGCUAACUGCUCUUCUGAUCUUGCUAACUGUAUGCCUCCCUUCCUCCCACAGCCUCGCUGCACAAGACUUUCUUCUUUCUCUCACCCCUGUUCUGUCCACCUCUCUAAUGCAAGAGUUAACCAGUAUUCUCAAUCAUUCGUCCCUUUCUCUGGUAAACUCUGGAACUCCCUGCCUGCUUCUGUAUUUCCACCUUCCUAUGACUUGAAUUCCUUCAAGAGGGAGGUUUCAAGACACUUAUUCAUCAAUUUUUGACUACUGCUUUGAUCCUUUUAUGGGACUGGCAUUUCAGUGGCCAUUUUUUUUUAUUGGAUUUUUGUUGCCCUUGGCCAGUGUCCCUCCUACAUUAAAAAAAAAAAAAAGUCCACACUGCUGUGGGCCAUCUCCAGCGCCAGACCCAAGGUGGCCAGCUACCCCUCCGACCCUGGGUGUGGUGAAGUACAGUGACAUGCGGCGGCUGACCAUCGCUGAUCUGCAGGGACUCAUCGAGGGUGCCUACUCCAACAUGGGGAUGGGGCACCGCUUCCUGUGCCACGUGGAGUGGACACACUUCCUCCUCUUUGUGGUAGACAUCAACAGCUUCCGGCUGUCACCCAAACACCCAUACUGUUCACCCACCGAGAAUGUCAUGCUGGUCAACAAGGAGUUGGAGCUGUAUUCACCUGACCUGCUGAGUAAGCCAGCACUCCUUAUGGUGAAUAAGAUGGACUCCCCCAAUGCUGAGUCUUGCCUGCAGGAACUCCUUCACAACUUUAAGAGGAUGGAGGAUGAGUACAUGGGAACAUAAGAAUACAAGGGAAGCUGCAAGAAUCUGUCAACCCACAAUUGGCAUUUCCUGUUAGAAAUGCCUUCUGAUUUCUACCUAUCAUCCUCAUACCUAAAUUUAUUUGGUCUUCUUUUAAAAGCUCCAUAUUGACAGGACAUUAACAGCCAUAAGAAAAUAGGGGAAGCUGCAGGCAGCCAUCAGUCCUUAACAUGACAAUCCCUGUAUGAAACAUGCCUGCCUAUUUCCACCCAUCUCCCCCAUCCACAAGUUUGUUUAGUUUUCUUUUAAAGCUUCCUAACGACUCAGCACUAACAACCAGAUUACUGAGUCUAUUCUAUUCAUCAACCACUAUAUUUGAAAACUUUUUCCUUUGUAUCUCAUUUAAAGCUAGCUUUAUCAAGCUUGAACCCACUAUUUCUUGUCCUAUCCUGAUCACUGAACCUAAGGAUUUUGCUCAUGUCAUCCUUGUUAUAUCCCCUAAGUAAAGACUUGAGGGAGGAAGAGAGUAGAGACAUCUUUUAUCAUUAUCUUUUCAUCUUGCUUACUCCUUCAUUCCUGUUGGUUUAAUAUUCUGUGUUUGAAGCACCAAGCCAACUGAUUAUGUGGGACUGAGAUUGUUAUAGUUAUUUUAUACUAUAUUAGGUGAAUACCCUCUCCAUUAGGGGCUGAUAGGACUAAGAGUGUGAAUGAUGUGUGUAUGAGUGGAUGGUGCUUUGUCUGGGCCACCCUGUGUGGGAUUGCCAACCUGGUAUAUGGACAGAUGGACAGAUAGAUACAUGGGUCAAUAAUUUGGAGCUUGGAUAUGAAGAAAAUGUAAAACUAGUGGAGACGUUUCAAAGGACACAGGAAAAAAAGCUGCAGUGUUUUAGCCAUGUGAAGAGAAGGAAAGAGUCAUAUGUCAGGAGAAGUGUGAUGGAGAUAGAGGUGCAAGGCAGGAGAGCAAGAGGAAAACUAAACCUUAUAUGGAUAGACUGUGUAAGGGAGGACUUGAGACAGAAACAAUUGUCAAAGGAAAAUAUAUAUGACUAUGCUUGGAGGAGAGCUGGCAAGAACAAUGACUCUAUAGAGACUAGGGAAAAGAUAUCAAGAAGAAGAAAUUAUGGAGGUGUAAGAAUUAAUAAGGGAAUUAUCGAGGUGUUUGGGCUGUGGGAGGCUGUGGAAGACAGUGCCUGGAAGUCACCAAAUUCAGGGUAAACCUUCCACCAUGGUCCAGGAAGUCAUCAGCCAGUAGAGAUGAGUCCAGAGCCUGACAUGCCACCACCUAGUAGGAGGGAAUGUAUUUAUAAAUUUCUUGAAUAGAGUAUAGUUGUCUUACAGGGUUAAAUGUCUUGUAGGGAUUUAAAUCCUGCUAUAUUUACAGUCAGUGCAGGCCGAGGUGAUCUGGAAGUCACACCCUGAGCCUCUUUCCCUUCUAAUGUGGCUGCUGACUGGUGCUCUCAUAAUGUUCUUGACACUUCCUCAAAUAUAUUUAAGAUAUUUUCUAUCACCAUAUUAAUUAAACUUUCCCCAAACAGUUUUUUUUUUUCAUAUCAACAGGAAAACGGAGUAUUAAACCUUCUGGAAACAAAAAUGUGUCAGCAAUAAUUCAAGUCAAGGAUAACAUUGAAAAUGAAACAUAAUAUUGAAAAUGAAAACUGGAAUCAUGACGCCUCUUGUGGUUGAGUCGUCCCAGUAGUAGUGCAGUGACUCUCCUUCACUAGGAAUUACUAAAGACUAGUGUUUCUUAUUGUUACUGAAAAAGGACAGAAUAUAUUUUCUAUCUUAGUUUAAGUAAAUUAAAUAGAUGAAAGAAUUUUUGCCUUUGUCUUUUCACGAAAUAAGCCUCACUGGCUUUUGAAGUGAGAGUAAUGAGCUCAUUAUAAUUAUUUAGUGAAGCAUUCUCCAAAGUAAAGUCCUCUCUUUUGUAAAGAAUUUCCUGUAUGUAUGGAAUGAUAUCACAGCCUGUGUAACACAUUCAUUACCUGGUCAACCUACUGUGGGAGGGAACAUUGCUACCAUUCCAGUAUUUUGUAAAGUGUGUUCAUGUUCAUCUUUGAUUCCUGCACUUACAUGUGAAUCUUUCCUGUAAAUUGAAAAUGUUUUUAAUGCCUUUCUGCACUAAGUGACGUUUCACAUGAAGACAUUUUGAUGCAUGCAUUCUGUUCAUAAGAGGGUCUCAAGUGACAGUCAUAGUAAUGAUCACUGGACUGAUGACUGACGUCUGGGAAUGUCAAAAUGGUGACUAAGGAUGUCAGACUAUUGACUGGAGACUGGUGACUAAGAAUUUCAGAGUAGACUGGUGACUUAGGAUGUCAUUUAGGAUAGUGAGUAAUGAUGAGGAUCUUGAUUGAUGAGUGGUGACUGAGGAGUGUGAUUGGUGACUGGUGAUUGAAGGUGUGUCAUGGGUGACUUUAUGUAUUUGACUGGUAAAAUAGAAUGUCUCUUAGGAUAAUGAAUACUGACCAUGAUUUUUGACUGGUGAGUGGUGGUGUUCCUGGGUGGUGUUAACAACUGGUGUUCCUCACAGACUAUGUGUUGUGUUGCUCCUGUGGUGCCAAACUCACGGAGAACUCAUGGGAUAACUUUGUAAACAUCUCCAUUCCACUGUCUGAGGCAUCCCAGCUGGUGACCAUCCUGGGACACCCCCACCUCAUGGUCCAGACCCUCAGGAACCCUGCUGACCUUGCUUUUGACUUGGUGACUGUCAGGAGUGGGCUGCUCAGGAGUGGGAGAGGAUAUUUGAACCAGAAACCAAAGCCAGCACAACACACUUCAAAGCUUCCUUGGAGGGUUUCUAUGGACUCAUUCUAGAGAAACUGGUCACUGAGAAAUUUUCAGACUCCUCAUUGGCCUUCCCAAGCACCAGCAGUUUUAGCACAAUGGCACAAGACGGGUAGGACAUGGUGCCUCUCGACCUCGAGCUUCUGGCUGAGCUGGAGGAGGAAGCAACCUCUCACUAUACUGAGGAGGAUAACCAGUUUACAGAGCACUGCAAGAAGAGCCUGCCUAAGCCGCCAAUACUCCCUGCUGACAGAUUUGACCGCAACAGACAGUGCAGAGGCAACUUUAGGCAUCAAGACUACAGGAAGGAAGGAGGCUGCAGGGAUCAAGGGGAGUACAGAGGUCAUGGGAAUUAUAGGGAUCGUGGGAAUUACAGGGAUCACAGGUGGGAAUAUUCUGACCACAGGCAAGGGAGGUUUGUCAGUGACCACAGAGAUCAUGAUGACAGCAGAAGGGAUAGCGAGAAGAGGAAGUACAGGUCUGAGAAGGAGAGUGAUGAGUAUGGAAGAAGGAAUUACCAGUCCAGCAAAUACUACAAUGGGUGGGGGGGGGUGUCAUCCUGUUGAGUUUUGUGAAUCCAGUGGCUGGUAUAUUUAUCUUUCAUCAGGGACUUCACACAAGCUUCCACGCCAUUAAUUCUUUGAGCAGUAACCAAAGAUUACUGACAUUUAAUUUACAUUUAAAUGCCUGCCUGCCUGUCUGUUCAUAUCUUUCUCUCACAACGUACUCACCAUUCACUUGUGAACAUUUAGAUUUUUAGGAAAUAUUUUUGAGCAAGUUCCUUCAUCACAAGGCAACCAUCUACUAAAAAGAAAGAAAAAUGGAAUAUAUGUUGGCAUUUCCUUGAUUGCUUUUGGUGUUAGUGACUUUCCAGAGUGACAAUACAAGUGUUAUCCCCACUACAAGUCAUGCACUAUAUAUAACAUCACUGAGUAUCUUUUCUCUCAUUUUCAUAUAAAUGUUUGUAACAUUUUCAUAUAAAUGUAUGCUAACUUUUAUGUGGACUUACUGUAAGAUUUUUUAAAAGUAAAGUAUUUAUCCAA